rnacentral:rRNA from 1 species
AGGACGAACGCUGGCGGUGCGCNUAAUGCAUGCAAGUCGAACGAGCGACCCGGGCUCGCCCGGUUAGCUAGUGGCAGACGGCUGAGUAACACGUAAGUAAUUUGCCCCGAAGAGGGGGAUAAUCCAGAGAAAUCUGGCCUAAUACCCCGUACCUUUCUUUCCGGCCUGCCGGAUUGAAAGAAAGGCUCCGGCGCUUUGGGAGAAGCUUGCGGCUUAUCAGGUAGUUGGUGGGGUAAUGGCCUACCAAGCCCAAGACGAGUAACCGGUGUGAGAGCACGAUCGGUCAGAGGGGGACUGAGACACGGCCCCCACUCCUACGGGAGGCAGCAGCAGGGAAUCUUGCGCAAUGGGCGAAAGCCUGACGCAGCGACACCGCGUGGAGGAUGAAGGUCCUAGGAUUGUAAACUCCUUUUAUCAGGGAAGAGAAAGGACGGUACCUGAUGAAUAAGGUUCGGCUAACUACGUGCCAGCAGCCGCGGUAAUACGUAGGAACCGAGCGUUGUCCGGAUUUACUGGGCGUAAAGAGCGCGUAGGUGGUUUGUUAAGUCUCAUGUGUAAUCUCCCGGCUCAACUGGGAGGGGUCAUGGGAUACUGGCAGGCUUGAGGGUAGCAGAGGAAAGCGGAAUUCCCGGAGUAGUGGUGAAAUGCGUAGAUACCGGGAGGAACACCAGAGGCGAAGGCGGCUUUCUGGGCUAUUCCUGACACUGAGGCGCGAAAGCGUGGGGAGCGAACCGGAUUAGAUACCCGGGUAGUCCACGCCGUAAACGAUGGAUACUAGACAUUGGGGGUAUAGACCCCUCCAGUGUCGAAGCUAACGCGAUAAGUAUCCCGCCUGGGGAGUACGGCCGCAAGGCUAAAACUCAAAGGAAUUGACGGGGACC